rnacentral:rRNA from 1 species
GCGUAGGUGGUUAAUUAAGUCAAAUGUGAAAUCCCCGAGCUUAACUUGGGAAUUGCAUUCGAUACUGGUUAGCUAGAGUAUGGGAGAGGAUGGUAGAAUUCCAGGUGUAGCGGUGAAAUGCGUAGAGAUCUGGAGGAAUACCGAUGGCGAAGGCAGCCAUCUGGCCUAAUACUGACACUGAGGUGCGAAAGCAUGGGGAGCAAACAGGAUUAGAUACCCUGGUAGUCCAUGCCGUAAACGAUGUCUACUAGCCGUUGGGGGAUUUGAUCCUUUAGUGGCGCAGCUAACGCGAUAAGUAGACCGCCUGGGGAGUACGGUCGCAAGACUAAAACUCAAAUGAAUUGACGGGGGCCCGCACAAGCGGUGGAGCAUGUGGUUUAAUUCGAUGCAACGCGAAGAACCUUACCUGGCCUUGACAUAGUAGAGACUUUCCAGAGAUGGAUUGGUGCCUUCGGGAAUCUACAUACAGGUGCUGCAUGGCUGUCGUCAGCUCGUGUCGUGAGAUGUUGGGUUAAGUCCCGCAACGAGCGCAACCCUUUUCCUUACUUGCCAGCAUUUCGGAUGGGAACUUUAAGGAUACUGCCAGUGACAAACUGGAGGAAGGCGGGGACGACGUCAAGUCAUCAUGGCCCUUACGGCCAGGGCUACACACGUGCUACAAUGGUCGGUACAAAGGGUUGCUACACAGCGAUGUGAUGCUAAUCUCAAAAAGCCGAUCGUAGUCCGGAUCGCAGUCUGCAACUCGACUGCGUGAAGUCGGAAUCGCUAGUAAUCGCGGAUCAGAAUGCCGCGGUGAAUACGUUCCCGGGCCUUGUACACACCGCCCGUC